CCUACGGGAGGCAGCAGUGGGGAAUAUUGGACAAUGGGGGCAACCCUGAUCCAGCCAUGCCGCGUGUGUGAAGAAGGCCCUCGGGUUGUAAAGCACUUUCAGUGAGGAAGAACGCCUGGUGGUUAAUACCAUCAGGAAAGACAUCACUCUCAGAAGAAGCACCGGCUAACUCCGUGCCAGCAGCCGCGGUAAUACGGAGGGUGCGAGCGUUAAUCGGAAUUACUGGGCGUAAAGCGCGCGUAGGUGGCUUGAUAAGCCGGUUGUGAAAGCCCCGGGCUCAACCUGGGAACGGCAUCCGGAACUGUCAAGCUAGAGUGCAGGAGAGGAAGGUAGAAUUCCCGGUGUAGCGGUGAAAUGCGUAGAGAUCGGGAGGAAUACCAGUGGCGAAGGCGGCCUUCUGGACUGACACUGACACUGAGGUGCGAAAGCGUGGGUAGCAAACAGGAUUAGAUACCCGGGUAGUC
rnacentral:rRNA from 1 species